AUUAAAUAAAAAAGUGUUUUUUUUUUUUUUUUUUUGUUUUGUUUUGUAAUGUCAUAAUUUUUUUUUUAUUUUAAAUAUUUAUACGUUACUUAUACAUUACUUGUAUGUUACUUAUGCGUCACUUACGCGUUCCUCACUUAUUUGCUUGUUAUUCACAAAUUAAUGACUUGACUGAUUAUUUUAUUUUUUUUUUUUUUUUUUUUUUUUCAUAUAUAUGUUCACGUGCGUCACAUUACAUUUAUAUUCGUUUUUGUACAUACACAAUGAAAUGAUAAAUUAAUAAACCACGUGAGCACAAUAUACCGCUCUAAAACAUUCAGCAUAUACACACGCAUAUGUAUGUACGUACACAAACACGCACGUACUUAAUGUUUGUUCAAGCCAUACAAUAGAGAAGUGCCAAUUUGUUUUGCUUUGUUUUGUUUUGUUUUGUUUUUUUUAAAGUAUGACAUCCAGUUGCUCGACUUUGAGUGCUGAUUUCCGUUCCAAGCAUAAACAUCAUGGCAGAAAGAAUAAACAUGAUUAUAAAAAGAGAAAAAAAUACAGAGUUAGUAGUGGGUAUAAGAAAGCGACUAGUGAUAUUAGUGGUAGCGAUAGCUCAGGUUCUAAUUCGCACAAGUCUGUUACGAUGAAAAAAAAAAUAAAAAAAGUCAGCAACAAAAGAAAGUAUUCCAGUUUUUAUGAAGCAAGUGAAAGAAGUAGUAGUAGAUGUAGUAGUAAUAGUAGCAGUAAUAGUAGCAGUAAUAGUAGCAGUAAUAGUGGUAGUGCUAGUAGUAGUAGCUGUAGUAGUGGUAGUGCAAACGAAGAAGAAACAAAAAAAAAGCACAAACCUAAAAGCAGGCGACAUCAUAGAGUAAAAAAUGAAAAACACAAACGACAGAAAAUUGAAAAAAAAAAAAAAAAAGAAGCAAAUACCUUAACUGUUCAAGAGUUAAAAAAAGAAAGAGAACAAUUAAUGAAGGACCAUUUUAAUUAUACAAAUGAAUGCAACCCAUUCGGCGAUAAUACACUAUCAACUCCUUUUGUAUGGAAAUUAAAAAAUAAAUAUGAAAAAAUAAAAAAUAACAACAAAAUAAAAGUUACAACUGAUAGUUUGUUAAAAAAUAGUUUUUCCAAAGUUAAUGAAAUACAACUAGUAAAAAAAAGAAGAGCAGAAAGAGACCAAGAAAGAGCAAUGUUAGAAGAUUAUAGAUUACAAUUAGAAAAACAAAAAAAUCAAAUUAAUUUGAAUGAAUAUAUAAAAAAUGAACAAUUAUUUUUUAUUAACCAGUUGUUACAAUCAUCUGACAGUAGGAUUAGCCAAAAUAUGCCACAGCUUGUUGAUAUAUUUAGGCUAGCUUCUCAAAUUGUUUUUGAAAAGAAAACACAGGCGACUAUACAUAGUUAUUAUUAUCGGGCUCCAUUUUAUGUUCUGUUAAAAGGU
rnacentral:lncRNA from 1 species